rnacentral:rRNA from 1 species
GGGCAAUGGCCGGCAGCCUACCAUGCAAGUCGAACGGUAACAGGAAGCAGCUUGCUGCUUUGCUGACGAGUGGCGGACGGGUGAGUAAUGUCUGGGAAACUGCCUGAUGGAGGGGGAUAACUACUGGAAACGGUAGCUAAUACCGCAUAACGUCGCAAGACCAAAGAGGGGGACCUUCGGGCCUCUUGCCAUCGGAUGUGCCCAGAUGGGAUUAGCUAGUAGGUGGGGUAACGGCUCACCUAGGCGACGAUCCCUAGCUGGUCUGAGAGGAUGACCAGCCACACUGGAACUGAGACACGGUCCAGACUCCUACGGGAGGCAGCAGUGGGGAAUAUUGCACAAUGGGCGCAAGCCUGAUGCAGCCAUGCCGCGUGUAUGAAGAAGGCCUUCGGGUUGUAAAGUACUUUCAGCGGGGAGGAAGGGAGUAAAGUUAAUACCUUUGCUCAUUGACGUUACCCGCAGAAGAAGCACCGGCUAACUCUGUGCCAGCAGCCG